AGAGUCGCCCGGAUCACCGCGUUGUAGCAAUACACCGAGGAAAGUCCGGACUUCACAGAGCAAGGUGGUGGGUAACGCCCACCCGGAGAAAUCCGCGGGAUUAGUGCCACAGAAAAUAGACCGCACAUGCAAAUGUGUAAGGGUGAAACGGUGGUGUAAGAGACCACCAGUAUUUGUAGUGAUG
rnacentral:RNase_P_RNA from 1 species